rnacentral:rRNA from 1 species
AUUGAACGCUGGCGGCAUGCCUUACACAUGCAAGUCGAACGGUAACAGGUCUUCGGAUGCUGACGAGUGGCGAACGGGUGAGUAAUACAUCGGAACGUGCCUAGUAGUGGGGAUAACUACUCGAAAGAGUGGCUAAUACCGCAUGAGAUCUACGGAUGAAAGCAGGGGAUCGCAAGACCUUGUGCUACUAGAGCGGCCGAUGGCAGAUUAGGUAGUUGGUGGGAUAAAAGCUUACCAAGCCGACGAUCUGUAGCUGGUCUGAGAGGACGAUCAGCCACACUGGGACUGAGAAACGGCCCAGACUCCUACGGGAGGCAGCAGUGGGGAAUUUUGGACAAUGGGCGCAAGCCUGAUCCAGCAAUGCCGCGUGCAGGAUGAAGGCCUUCGGGUUGUAAACUGCUUUUGUACGGAACGAAAAGCCCCGGGUUAAUACCCUGGGGUCAUGACGGUACCGUAAGAAUAAGCACCGGCUAACUACGUGCCAGCCGCCGCGGUAA